rnacentral:rRNA from 1 species
UGGGGAAUAUUGCACAAUGGGCGCAAGCCUGAUGCAGCCAUGCCGCGUGUAUGAAGAAGGCCUUCGGGUUGUAAAGUACUUUCAGCGGGGAGGAAGGUGUUGAGAUUAAUAACCUCAGCAAUUGACGUUACCCGCAGAAGAAGCACCGGCUAACUCCGUGCCAGCAGCCGCGGUAAUACGGAGGGUGCAAGCGUUAAUCGGAAUUACUGGGCGUAAAGCGCACGCAGGCGGUAUGUCAAGUCGGAUGUGAAAUCCCCGGGCUCAACCUGGGAACUGCAUUCGAAACUGGCAGGCUAGAGUCUUGUAGAGGGGGGUAGAAUUCCAGGUGUAGCGGUGAAAUGCGUAGAGAUCUGGAGGAAUACCGGUGGCGAAGGCGGCCCCCUGGACAAAGACUGACGCUCAGGUGCGAAAGCGUGGGGAGCAAACA